rnacentral:sRNA from 1 species
GCCGGGAACAGUGGCACAUGCCUGUAAUCCCAGCUGCUUAGGAGGCUAAGGCAGGAGGAUUGAGAGUUUAAAGCCAGCCUCAGCAAGAGUGAGGCUCUAAGCAACUUAUUGAGACCUUGUCUUUA